UUUUUUUUUUUUUUUGAGAUUUUAUUUAUUUAUUUGACAGAGAGAGAGAGAGAGAAAGAGAGAGAACAAGCAGAGGGAGGAGCAUAGAGAGUGGGAGAAGAAGGCUUCCCCACUGAGCAGGGAGCCUGAUACAAAACUUAAUUCCAGGACCCUGGGAUCAUGACCUGAGCCAAAGGCAGAUGCUUAACUGACUGAGCCACCCAGUGCCCCUGAUCUCCCCAUUAUUUUAAUAGCUAAGGCAUAAUUGGUCUACACAACACAAUUCAAUUCAACGUGUACUGAUGGUUCAGGAAAUGCAUAAGGCACUGACCUCAAUGCUGAAGGGUACAUAUAAUAGUCACGACACUAUCUGAAGGAGCUAUCUUAAUAGAUAUCAAGGGGUAGACAGUCUAAUCUGAUACCAAGAACCACAAAGGAGGAAAAAAAUUGUAGAGUAUUAGGUAGAAGUUAUUUAUGUGAAGUUUUGAAUUUUCUUAUUUAUUGUUUUAAGAAAAAUGGCUCACUCCUUGAGAGUAGAUUCUAUAUAGUCUGUAUUUGCAUCUUCGAAUCACACAUGGCAAACUCUGGGCAAAUAGUAUAGAUUUUUAAAAUACUUGGUGACUUAUUUUGCUGGUUGCACUCCAUAUUUACUGAAUUCCUACUACAUGUCCAGUGCUGUGCUAGGCAUAAUGUGGAAUGCAAAACUUGAUCUCCUGCAAAGGGAGCACUGAUGAACAGGGCGUGUUUGGUAGACAUUUAGGACACUCCUUGACCGGACUAGACUCCUGAUUCCUGGGUAGAGUUCAGGUUUUGAGGUGAGGAGGAGGAGGAGGAAAUAAGCUUGAAAAGAUCAGAUUGGUCCAUAUUAUAAAAGACUUUGAAAAUCAAGCAAAAAAAGUUAGACUUGAGUGGUAAACAAGAAGUAUAAUUUCCAUAUCAAACAAAUCCAUUACCGAGGAUGAGAAGAAACAUUAAGAUUAUAUUAUCAAUUGUUUUGUGUGUGGUAAGGUAAGUAUUCCAAUUCAUAUUAUUUGAGAGAUAAUAAAAUAAAAAGGAUUUUCCUUUUUGAAACAAAAUAGAUUUUCCUUAGUGUUACUUUUGCCCACCUGUCUAGACAUUCUUUAUCUAGCAGCACAUUCAUGGCAUCCCUUGCUUCUUCUGGAAUCUCUGCCUUGCUUCUUUUUCUCUUUUCCACACAUUUGUUUCUUCUGGAGCUAAUGAACUGUCUCAGCCAUCAUUUGUGUUUGCAAAUGAUUAUUAAAACCAUCAUGGUUUCAGUCCAAAUGAUUUAAGUUCUAAAAAGCUACUCAUUUUGUCCUUUAAUCAAUUGACCUAUCCAUUCAUUUGACAUGAAUGGAAAAGACAAAUUACAUGGAAGGAAUCUGGAUUCUGUGGGCAAGGUAAGGAAUAAAAAGAGACAGUUGAGAGCACUGAGAGGCUUCCAAGCGAGUAAUGCAUUACAGUGUCAUAUAUCCCAAGUGUCUUGUAUAGUCUCACAUUUAAGAAUACCAUUAUAGUAUGUUGUUUAUUCCAUAAAGAAAAAUACAAUUAAAAAUUUUUAAACAUCUCAUUAGUAUAUUUCUGCUACAGUUUUACUUACUUUUUUCAUGAUGCUGAAGAAGGCCGUUCAUGUGGAUGCUGGGGGUUGGCUAGGUUCACCCAAUGUUAAGUACAUUGUUCUCAAAUAAUUUUCUUAUUUUAGAUUCUUCCUCAACAACUUGCAAGUGAUCAUAUGCCAUAGAACUUUUGUUACUGGUAAGCAUGAUCAAACCCAUAAAAGUUAAAUCUGAGAAUGUUUAGGUCUGCUGAAGUGAGAAAUAAAGUUAUUUUUGUAGAAAGAGGCCCCAAAGAAUGCUAAAAUUUGAAAUGGCUUUAUUUACAAGGCAAGAAGAAAGCACCAGUAGAGGAAAAAAAAAUCAGCAUGUCUAGAAAGUAAGUAGACCAAGGUGGAAAAAAUAGCCUUAGGUGUUGUUUGAAUUAAAUAAAUGUUACUAUGUGAACAGCUCUGGUAAGUAGCAUGUUCUUAAUGAAUGUAGCUUCUAGAAUUACUACUACUGGCAUUGUGUUACUCUUAUUUGUGUUAUUGAAAUAUAGUCUUGGUGAGAAAUGAGAAAGGAUUAGAACAUGUAAAAGUUUCAGAAGUAGGGAUGGAAAGGGAAACCGAGAUUCUCAAAAAUCAGCAGGGGAAUGAGGUAGGAGAGACUAGAAUUAAGGAGUAUUUUUAGGUGACAGGAUAAUGUAGAGGGAGAGGUCUAGAAUGUGCUUCAAGAUUUUGAAUCAUGGCCUAUUAGUGAAUUGUGAAAUCAAUCUGAGGAUUAUGACUGGCCAUUAAAAAAACCCAAAAUAGAAUAGAAUUGAAAAGUUCACAUGGAGUAUCACAGAUAAUUAUUUUGCAAGACUUUUAUGUGGACGGUAUAUGUGAGGACAUUUUCAGUAGGUCUACAGUGUAUCAAGGCACUAUAUUUAGCACAGGUCUGAAUGAGUCUGGAUGAUUACAGUCCAGCAACAGGAUGGACAGCUCAGAGAAGACUGGUACUCAGACUCCUGAAGGCAUGCUGAAUGCAAUGGGGAACAGAAGCUAAGAGAUAAAAAAUCAAUCCUCUUCAUGGAUUAGAAAUAUGAAUAAAGGACAGAAGUGGGUUUUUGUUGUUGUUGUUGUUGUUUGUUUGUUUGUUUGUUUGUUUUAGGAAACUUAUCCAUAGGGGAGCAAGAGGAAUUUGGAGUGUGUCUUCUCUUCUGAUAGAUGAUUUAUCUUCCUCCAAUUUUGAUGAGGUUAUUGCCAUAAUUUUUAGUUUCACGGAGAUUGGCACUAAAAUGGACUUAAGAUGACAGUUUUGUGAAUUCAGAAAUUCAACCCAAUAUCACUAUGCUAAUAUAUCUGAAGAAUUUUUGCUUCCAUAAGGAAACAGUAUCUUUCUUAAGUGGGAGCAUAUGGGUCUCUUGGUUUUCUUAUUGCUAAAGGUAGUGUCUGAACAGUGUUUUACUGUUCUGAAAGAAAGAAUAUUCUAAGACUCUGAAGAUGGAAACAAUAUAAUUUGAUUUUUAAAAUAAUUUAUAACUGUCUAUCAUGAAUGUAUAUCUCCAUGUCAAAAUAUUAACUUGUGAUAUGGACGCAGAUUCUAACUGAUUGGACCAUAAGAUUUCCAGUUUUCUAAGCUGCGCAUAGCUCUAGGAUUCUUUUUUUUGGCCUUUAUUUUUCCCAACUCCAGAAAUGCAACCUCUUUCAAACGAAUUCUUAUUAAUUCUCUUUGAAAUGCAUACUGGUUCUGAUUCUUCCUUCCUAAUCACGAUACCACAGGGGUAUAGCA
rnacentral:lncRNA from 1 species